AACGAACGCUGGCGGCAGGCCUAACACAUGCAAGUCGAGCGAGGACUUCGGUUCUAGCGGCGGACGGGUGAGUAACGCGUGGGAAUGUGCCCUUCUCUACGGAAUAGCCCUGGGAAACUGGGAGUAAUACCGUAUACGCCCUAUUGGGGAAGAUUUAUCGGAGAAGGAUCAGCCCGCGUUGGAUUAGGGUAGUUGGUGGGGUAAUGGCCUACCAAGCCGACGAUCCAUAGCUGGUUUGAGAGGAUGAUCAGCCACACUGGGACUGAGACACGGCCCAG
rnacentral:rRNA from 1 species